rnacentral:rRNA from 1 species
GAGUUUGAUCCUGGCUCAGAAUGAACGCUGGCGGCGUGCUUAACACAUGCAAGUCGAGCGAGGCCAGGGGGGCAACUCCCUGAGUCGAGCGGCGGACGGGUGAGUAACACGUGGGUAACCUACCCGGAAGUGGGGAAUACCUCGGGGAAACUCGAGCUAAUACCGCAUGACAUCUCGAGGACGAAAGUCCUUUUGAUCAAAGCGGGGCCGCAAGGCCUCGUGCUACCGGAUGGGCCCGCGCCCGAUUAGCUAGUUGGCGAGGUAAUGGCUCACCAAGGCGACGAUCGGUAACCGGCCUGAGAGGGCGAUCGGUCACACCGGAACUGAGACACGGUCCGGACUCCUACGGGAGGCAGCAGUGGGGAAUCUUGCGCAAUGGGCGAAAGCCUGACGCAGCAACGCCGCGUGGAGGAUGAAGGCCCUUGGGUUGUAAACUCCUGCCGGCUGGGAAGAACUCGCUCGCGACUAAUACUCGCGAGCGUUGACUGUACCAGCAAAGGAAGCCCCGGCUAACUCUGUGCCAGCAGCCGCGGUAAUUACAAGAAGGGGGGCUAGCGUUAUUCGGGAAUUAUUGGGCCGUAAAGGGGCGCGUAAGGCGGGCUUUGCGUGUCUCCCGUGAAAUCCCUCGGCUUACCCGAGGAGGUGCGGAAGAAACUGCAACGCUCGAGUCCGGAAGAAAGGGGGGGCCGGAAUUCCCAGUGGUAGCCGGUGAAAUGCGUAGAUAUUU